GGUCCAGUGGUGUAGUGGCUAGCAUAAGAGACUGUCACUCUCUUGACCCGGGUUCGAGUCCCGGCUGGGCCG
rnacentral:tRNA from 1 species